UACGGGGGGAGCAAGCGUUGUUCGGAUUUACUGGGCGUAAAGGGCGCGUAGGCGGCCACCGCAAGUCGGUUGUGAAAUCUCCGGGCUUAACCCGGAAAGGUCAAUCGAUACUGCCGGGCUAGAGUUCGGAAGAGGCGAGUGGAAUUCCUGGUGUAGCGGUGGAAUGCGCAGAUAUCAGGAGGAACACCGGUGGCGAAGGCGGGUCUCUGGGCCGAUACUGACGCUGAGGAGCGAAAGCGUGGGGAGCGAACAGG
rnacentral:rRNA from 1 species